CGCGUGGGCGGGCGCCGCGCUGGCCCUGCUGGCGCUGCUGGCCGCCGUCCUCGCCGCACUGUACCUGCUACAUCGCCGCAGACACGGAGCGUUCGUGCACGCGCGUCUGUCUGACAACGUGGAGAUUAACAACCCUAUGUACCUGGCCGGCGAGGAUGAACUCGAACAGCCACAUCCUGCGCACGCGCACAACAACGGCGGCAACCACUUCGCCAACCCGGUGUACGAGAGCAUGUACGCCCCGCAGAGCGCGCCGCCGGAGGUAAGCCCCGCACACGCGCGCAUGCUGCCGCGCACACACGCGCCCUGAGACCGCGGGGUCACGGCCACGCCGCCAAGCGUAGACGUUAACACUUCAUGUGUAUAUAGUUAACUACAAAAAAAAACUGUACUUGAUUGACGCGGCCACUAGCGUAACUAAAUCAUUAAAAAAAUUCGUCAAGUGCGAGUCAGACUUGCGUCAAUAGAGGUUCUGUAUAAAUACGAAAUGAGCAUCCAUAAAGUAUAUUAACCAACCUCGUCUUAAAUUUUUAUAAAAAAGUGAAUCAUUUCGUAAUCUAUUUAAGAAACGUUUUUACCUUUAGGGUACGGAACCCUAAAAACUUGUCUUACGCGCUUAACUACUUAAUUAGUCAAAUAUUUAUCCGUUUUGACCCAUUUGGUACGGAACCCUAAAAACUACACUUGACGUACGCGCUUAGCUACUAGCUACUUAGUAAAAUACCUUAAAGCUACAAAAAAGUCUACAAUUCUAAUGAAUCUUAUCUAUUCAACAUAUUUUGAAUUUAUGCAAAAAUAAAUAACUAUAAAAACAUAAUUGGAUUGUCGACCUCAGUGAACUAACGAACGUGUAUGUGUGUGUGUAGGUCGUUCAUGUAAUUGUGUGACGGAAGGUCGUCGGUGCGGUUUUCAUAAUUCGUAGUCAUCAUUAUGUUCAUAAAAACCAAAUGUUAUACCUAUUCAAUAUCGACCGCUGUUAAGUAACACUUGACGCAUAAAUCUUAAAUGAUGAUGAUAUUAACGACUUUUUUCCUUGUGCGCUGUCGCUAAGUUAGACGAUGGAGUUUUGACACGGAACUAUAAGUUAUUCUUACAAAUAUGGUACAUAUUUUAUUUAUAUACAUAUAGUAUGUUUAUUUUUCGCUUUAACAAUUUCGGAAAGGAAAACCCGUUCUCGUAAUCGUGAUUGACUCUAGAACGCGCGUUAAUAAUGCAAUAGUGAAACUGAAGUAUGUAAUAAUAAUAUAAUGACGUCACCCAAGAUGCAAGUACUUACUGGCGAUAAAAUCAAAUUUGCACGGUUUGAUUAAUCAAAAUAUAUUUUCCUUGACAACAAUAGAAUCAAAUAAUCUCCAUAAUUAAUUUGAAAUCUGUAACUAAUCUGACGUAGGGACGUUAGGUAGGUGUAGGGAUACAAGGCGCGUGUGUCGCGCGGCGUGACGAGUGUGUGUUGUCCAGGAGCACGCGAGCCUGCUGGCCGAGCGCCGAGCCUCGCCCACCGCCGAGCGGGCCGCGCUGCUGUGAGGAACUGUGACCACUUACAUAUCGAACAUACAUCAUAAUAACUCAUAAACUCCUAUAACCAAGUCCUUGACAACCUCAGUAGUAGUCUAGGUUAUGCCGCGGUCGAGAGCCCGCGCCUCUCAAGCCCCAACAAUGUCAUUUGGAGGAGAACUUACCUCUUAAAAGUCAAGUGUUAUUUACGUCUGUUUUAAUUAUCUAUUAAAUAACAAUAAAAUGGAAACAGAGUAGCGCGCUCUAGUCCGCGGCAUGCAUCUCAAUAAUACCUUAAUGUACAAUCGAGCUUGUAUGAAUCUCAGUGAAAUUGUAGUACAUAUUUCGUAAUUGUUGUAAGUAGGUGGCGCAAAGGACGUCAUAUCCGCGGUGUCCUUUACUAACCUUUGUACUCUUGCCGUUUAGAUAACGAACACUUUCAGAACGAAUAUUUUAUAAUAAUAAGAUCUACACCACAUAAUCUUUAGAGAUUAGUAAGUUAGUCUCAUUGUAUUGUGCCAUAUUGUGGUAGUGAUAGCAAAAUAACCAGCAAUAUAUGUCCCGGCUAUCCUAGAUUAGAUCAUGACUGUCUUUGUUGUCAGAUCAUAAAUCCUUAUUUUUUAUUAUUCGGUCACUUUGUACAGAUCUCGUUAUUUAUUUUGAACGAAUGGGUGAUUCUCCAGAAAAGAAAUAACAUAUGCUCACCAAAUUGUAACAUACCGUAGUGAUAAUAAGUCAUAAUUAUGAUCUUUCUUAAAAAAAUACAUUAAAUUAUACAAACUGAAGUUAAAAAUAUAUGGUGAAAAGUAAUGAAGUCCUCAACUUGUUAUUAUUUUCCGGAGAAUCUCUAAAUAUACAGCUAAAUACAUCGGGCCAGUUUAUUUAGUACAAGACAACUUUUUUAGCAGAAUAAUUUGUACAAAUGUCGGCAGCUUUCUGACCUUGCGUUGUGUAACUAAUGUGAUUGUUUUGUAUUUAAUUUUUAUUAUUCUUAAGUAUAUUAGAUGUAAGUAAACAACGAGGGUCUCGUGUGUUCAGAGCACACAUCCAAGGCAGCUAGGAGCUCUUAAACUCUAUGAAUUCUCAUGAACAACAUGUGCUUAAGAUAGCUGUAAGUAUGCUUCUACACGCAAUAUCUAUGGAACUUGUGCCAAAUUGUUGUGAUCUAUUAAAUACCUAAUUAAUUAAGUAAUCAUUUGUCGAGCUCAAAUUAUAAUUUAUUUAAUUGAUUCCUAAAAAUCUCAAUAUACACAGUUAAUACAAUUGAUUAUAUUAUGCUCAAUCUGAAAUCACUCAAUGUGUAAUUUAUUAUAAAUGUUUUUGGGUUAUCGUCCCUAUGUAUUAUUAAUGUUGAGAUUAUGUUAAGUACAAUGUUUACAUAUCUUAUACGCAAUAUUUACUUUUGCAAAUAUAUUUGUACAAAGCAUCACAUGUUUCGACUCCAAUUUAAUUAAGAAUAGUCUGAAUAAUUAUAUUAAGUAGAAU